UGAGAUGCCAAGUGUCUUUGUCUUUCCCAGC
rnacentral:piRNA from 1 species